rnacentral:rRNA from 1 species
CUCCUAAAAGGUAACGGAGGCGCUCAAAGGUUCCCUCAGAAUGGUUGGAAAUCAUUCAUAGAGUGUAAAGGCAUAAGGGAGCUUGACUGCGAGACCUACAAGUCGAGCAGGGUCGAAAGACGGACUUAGUGAUCCGGUGGUUCCGCAUGGAAGGGCCAUCGCUCAACGGAUAAAAGCUACCCCGGGGAUAACAGGCUUAUCUCCCCCAAGAGUUCACAUCGACGGGGAGGUUUGGCACCUCGAUGUCGGCUCAUCGCAUCCUGGGGCUGUAGUCGGUCCCAAGGGUUGGGCUGUUCGCCCAUUAAAGCGGUACGCGAGCUGGGUUCAGAACGUCGUGAGACAGUUCGGUCCCUAUCCGUCGUGGGCGUAGGAAAUUUGAGAGGAGCUGUCCUUAGUACGAGAGGACCGGGAUGGACAUACCUCUGGUGUACCAGUUGUCGUGCCAACGGCAUAGCUGGGUAGCUAUGUGUGGACGGGAUAAGUGCUGAAAGCAUCUAAGCAUGAAGCCCCCCUCAAGAUGAGAUUUCCCAACUUCGGUUAUAAGAUCCCUCAAAGA